AUGAGUAGCGAGAUGGAGGUGGGAAUCCUCCAGGCCGAAUAUCUAAGGUUUCCAGGGUAAAGCUGAUCUGCCCUGGGUAAGUCGGGGCCUAAGGCAAGGCUGAGAAGCGUAGCUGAUGGACAACAGGUUUAGAUUCCUGUACCACAUGGUAUCAGAACUGUGGGGACGCAGAGGGAUAAGAUGACCGGGGAACAGAUUCCCGGGCAAGCGUAGGAGGUGUCAGGCAGGCAAAUCCGCCUGAUAAGCCAAAGACGUGACGCGGACCGAACCAAAGUAGGGAAGCAUCCGAUUCCAGCUGCCGAGAAAAGCCGCUAUUGUGUAUCAUGUGCCCGUACCGUAAACCGACACAGGUGGAUGAGGAGAGAAUCCUAAGGCCGGCGGGAGAAGCAUUGUUAAGGAACUCGGCAAAAUGACCCCGUAACUUCGGGAGAAGGGGUGCCCACUUCAGGGUGGGCCGCAGAGAAUAGGCUCAAGCAACUGUUUAGCAAAAACACAGGUCUAUGCGAAACCGUAAGGUGAAGUAUAUGGGCUGACGCCUGCCCGGUGCUGGAAGGUUAAGAGGAGAGGUUAGAGCAAUCGAAGCUUUGAAUUGAAGCCCCAGUAAACGGCGGCCGUAACUAUAACGGUCCUAAGGUAGCGAAAUUCCUUGUCGGGUAAGUUCCGACCCGCACGAAAGGCGUAAUGAUUUGAGCGCUGUCUCGACAAUGCACCCGGUGAAAUUGAAAUACCAGUGAAGAUGCUGGUUACCUGCGCCAGGACGGAAAGACCCCAUGGAGCUUUACUCCAGCUUGAUACUGGGAUUCGGUAAUGCAUGCACAGGAUAGGUGGGAGGCUACGAGUACGGAACUCCGGUUUCGUAUGAGCCGCUGUUGGGAUACCACCCUUGCGUUACUGGGUUUCUAACCAUGGUCCAUGAUCUGGAUCGGGGACAAUGUCAGGUGGGGAGUUUGACUGGGGCGGUCGCCUCCGAAAGGGUAUCGGAGGCGCUCAAAGGUUCCCUCAGAAUGGUUGGAAACCAUUCGAAGAGUGCAAAGGCAGAAGGGAGCUUGACUGCGACACCGACGGGUGGAGCAGGUACGAAAGUAGGACUUAGUGAUCCGGUGGUAUGAAAGUGGGAUUGCCAUCGCUCAACGGAUAAAAGCUACCCUGGGGAUAACAGGCUU
rnacentral:rRNA from 1 species